rnacentral:rRNA from 1 species
CUGGCUCAGGAUGAACGCUGGCGGCGUGCUUAAUACAUGCAAGUCGAACGGACGAAAUCGAAAAGCUUGCUUUUGAUCUAGUAGUGGCGAACGGGUGAGUAAUACGUAGGCAACCUACCUCAAAGAGGGGGAUAGCAGUUGGAAACGACUAUUAAUACCGCAUAGGUAAUUGGAAGGCAUCUUCUAAUUAUUAAAGGUGCGUUUGCACCGCUGUGAGAUGGGCUUACGCUGUAUUAGCUUGUUGGCGAGGUAACGGCUCACCAAGGCGAUGAUACAUAGCCGGUCUGAGAGGAUGAACGGCCACAUUGGAACUGAGACACGGUCCAGACUCCUACGGGAGGCAGCAGUAAGGAAUUUUCGGCAAUGGGCGAAAGCCUGACCGAGCAACGCCGCGUGAGUGAUGAAAAGGCCCUUGGGUUGUAAAGCUCUGUGGUAAAGGAAGAACACUAUGAUUAGGAAAUGAUUCAUAGCUGACGGUACUUUACUAGAAAGUCACGGCUUACUACGUGCCAGCCGCUGC